AUGUGUCGCCCUCUGGUGCUCGGGUGAGGAACUGCAGCAGGUGGAGGCGCCAUGUGGAAGUCUUUUACGGAUCCUCUUCGGCGCUCAUCUAAACUAGUCUAAAUCCUGACAUGAGCAGACCAUGAGGAGCUUUGUGAAAACAGCUCAGACAAAGACGCUGCUCCACAACAAGUUUGUGAUGUGUCUGGGAGGAUCAGCGCAGCGGUUGAUGUACAAAGACCUUCAGACCGACAACUUUUUGACCCUGUCUAAGCUCAAGUCCAAAGGGGAGCACUCAGGGAGAGCAAUGGGUUUGCCUGGGUCUCAUGUCCAAUGGGACAGACUAAAGAGAGGUGGGACAGUACCACACAGAGCACCACCUGCUGCGCUUCUACUUCUACACGUGUGGACUCUGUGUACAUGCAGAACGUCCUGGAGCAGCUCAGAGAGGGGCUCAGACUGAGGCUCAGGCCCGACCUCGUCAUCGUCAGCUCCUGUGUGUUGGACAUGAUGCGGUACACGACUACUGUUGACUUUUACACUACUCUUUCCUGAAAGUACUUUAUGUCACUGACACAAUAACAGUAAUGACAGAUAAUCCUAGUAAACCAGUUUUAAAUACACAGUAUCGUCAAAAGGCAGGAGCUGCAACAACAUAUAAACAGCAGAAUGAACCAGUAAUUAGCCAUAGAAGUUAGUUAUUCAACCCUCUACAGCUCAAACAUUAUUGUAUUACAACAAAAAUACCCAAAAUCGUCCCACUUUUACAAAGAAAAUGUACACACGAUAUGAUAUGGUAAUUACCAGAGGUGGCGUCUUGCAAGUCGUGACUUGGACUCCAGUCAGUCUUGAGUCACUGUUUUUAGGACUUGAGACUUAACUUGAUAAACUGGACUCGAAUUGGACUUGAAGGUCAAAGACUUGGACUUAACUCGGACUUGAGGCCUGUGACUUGAGAAGCACUUUUAAAUCUGAAUUCACUCUAUGAUCUUGUCAGAUUCCAUUUCUACAACUUACAUACUCUAUAAAUACUCACGUAUAAAUAUGCUAUGAUUUUUUAAAAAGUACAAUUCACCUUAAAAUUCACAUAAAUUGCAAAAAUCCAAGCUAUAUUUGGUACUUUGUUUUAAAGACUUGAAAUGACUUGAAGUAAGUAAGUCUUUAUUUAUAUGGGGCUUUUCACAGACAUUUUUGUCAGAAAGACACUUUACAGAGCAUUAUUCAGCAUUAUAUAUUCACUCCAUACCCUGGUGAUGAUAAGCUACUAUUGUAGCCACAGCUGCCCUGGGGCAGACUGACAGAAGCACAGCUGCCAUGCCAAUCAGCGCCAUCAGUCCAUCCGACCACCACCAUCACUCACACACACACACACACACACACCACUUUCAUACUAGGCAAUGUGGGUGCAGUGUCUUGCCUGAGGACCCAACGACAGUUAUUCCCACUGGCGCCCCACUGUGGCACCUGAUUUAACCAGUGGUCUCGCAUCCAAGUACUAACCAGGCCCGGCCUUGCUUAACUUCUGAGAUCUGACGGGAUCAGUACAAGCCAAUAUGGCCACAUGAACAUUGAAACUCAAAGCAGACGACUUGGAUUUGACUUGGACUUAUGGGGCAGUGACUCGAGACUCGACUUGGACUUGCCUGUGUUUGACUUGGUACUUGACCUGGAUUUGAGGUCAAAGACUUGAGACUUACUUGAGACUUGCAAAAUGACGACUUAGUCCCACCUCCAGUAAUUACUGUCACAGACUUAACUGAGAUGUUAUUGCUUAAACUGGAAUGUUCCACUGCAUUGCUUUAAACACAUCUUUCUCCAUGGAGACAAUUCUUAGUAAGAAUGCAUGUUUAUCCAGUUUUUAGCAAUAAAAACACCUGUAAUAAAAUAAAUGUAACAUAGAUAAGUUUAAAGCACAAUAACAUUUCCUUUGUGGCACUCUAAUCAGAAAAGUAGCAUACUGCACUUUGAAUUACAUUUUUACAUUUGAAUGCUUUUUAUGUAGUUCCUUUCCCAUUCCUUUUCAUUCAUCCAUCCUUCCUUCCUUUCUUCUUCAUGUUUUCUGCCUUGUUAAUUAUAAAAUCAAAGUAAUCCCUCAAAAAAUCCAAUAUCAGAGUGUUCAGUCCAACAUUGCUCUUGCUCAUUUGUGUCUGUCCCCAGAGCAAACAUCCGUGUACCGCAGAUCAAAGUGUCUGUUUGCAUGAGCGUCAUGGUAGCGCGGCAGGUCGUGUUCCUGGCGGAUUAUCUUACUGAGUGCUCUUAUUAUGAUGCAGUCAGAGGAGAUAAGGUGGUUAAUGCAUUGUCCCCUGACUCUGCUCCCCUCACCAGGGCCGCAGCUCCAGUGCCACUCUCCAUCUCUUUCACAUUAA